rnacentral:rRNA from 1 species
AUUGAACGCUGGCGGCAGGCCUAACACAUGCAAGUCGAACGGUAACAGGAAGAAGCUUGCUUCUUUGCUGACGAGUGGCGGACGGGUGAGUAAUGUCUGGGAAACUGCCUGAUGGAGGGGGAUAACUACUGGAAACGGUAGCUAAUACCGCAUAACGUCGCAAGACCAAAGAGGGGGACCUUCGGGCCUCUUGCCAUCGGAUGUGCCCAGAUGGGAUUAGCUAGUAGGUGGGGUAACGGCUCACCUAGGCGACGAUCCCUAGCUGGUCUGAGAGGAUGACCAGCCACACUGGAACUGAGACACGGUCCAGACUCCUACGGGAGGCAGCAGUGGGGAAUAUUGCACAAUGGGCGCAAGCCUGAUGCAGCCAUGCCGCGUGUAUGAAGAAGGCCUUCGGGUUGUAAAGUACUUUCAGCGGGGAGGAAGUGAGUAAAGUUAAUACCUUUGCUCAUUGACGUUACCCGCAGAAGAAGCACCGGCUAACUCCGUG